AGUUUGAUCCUGGCUCAGGAUGAACGCUGGCGGCGUGCUUAACACAUGCAAGUCGAACGGUGAAGCAGGAGCUUGCUCUUGUGGAUCAGUGGCGAACGGGUGAGUAACACGUGAGUAACCUGCCCCAGACUCUGGGAUAAGCACUGGAAACGGUGUCUAAUACCGGAUACGAGCUUCAGCCGCAUGGCUAGGAGUUGGAAAGAAUUUCGGUCUGGGAUGGACUCGCGGCCUAUCAGCUAGUUGGUGAGGUAACGGCCCACCAAGGCGACGACGGGUAGCCGGCCUGAGAGGGUGACCGGCCACACUGGGACUGAGACACGGCCCAGACUCCUACGGGAGGCAGCAGUGGGGAAUAUUGCACAAUGGGCGCAAGCCUGAUGCAGCAACGCCGCGUGAGGGACGACGGCCUUCGGGUUGUAAACCUCUUUUAGUAGGGAAGAAGCGAAAGUGACGGUACUUGCAGAAAAAGCACCGGCUAACUACGUGCCAGCAGCCGCGGUAAUACGUAGGGUGCAAGCGUUAUCCGGAAUUAUUGGGCGUAAAGAGCUCGUAGGCGGUUUGUCGCGUCUGCUGUGAAAACUGGAGGCUCAACCUCCAGCCUGCAGUGGGUACGGGCAGACUAGAGUGCGGUAGGGG
rnacentral:rRNA from 1 species